rnacentral:rRNA from 1 species
GACGAACGCUGGCGGCGUGCUUAACACAUGCAAGUCGAACGGUGAUGCUCUACCUUUCUGGGGUGCAUCAGUGGCGAACGGGUGAGUAACACGUGAGCAACCUGCCCCAGACUCUGGAAUAAGUUCUGGAAACGGCGUCUAAUACUGGAUACGAAACUGGCCCGCAUGGGCAUGGUUUGGAAAUUUCUGCGGUUUGGGAUGGGCUCGCGGCUUAUCAGCUUGUUGGUGGGGUAGUGGCUAACCAAGGCUUCGACAGGUAGCCGGCCUGAGAGGGUGACCGGCCACACUGGGACUGAGACACGGCCCAGACUCCUACGGGAGGCAGCAGUGGGGAAUAUUGCACAAUGGGCGAAAGCCUGAUGCAGCGACGCCGCGUGCGGGAUGACGGCCUUCGGGUUGUAAACCGCUUUCAGCAGGGACGAAGCGAAAGUGACGGUACCUGCAGAAGAAGCACCGGCUAACUACGUG